GCCCAGACUCCUACGGGAGGCAGCAGUGGGGAAUAUUGCACAAUGGGGGAAACCCUGAUGCAGCGACGCCGCGUGAGCGAUGAAGUAUUUCGGUAUGUAAAGCUCUAUCAGCAGGGAAGAAAAUGACGGUACCUGACUAAGAAGCCCCGGCUAACUACGUGCCAGCAGCCGCGGUAAUACGUAGGGGGCAAGCGUUAUCCGGAUUUACUGGGUGUAAAGGGAGCGUAGACGGCAAUGCAAGCCAGAUGUGAAAGCCCGGGGCUCAACCCCGGGACUGCAUUUGGAACUGUGUAGCUGGAGUGUCGGAGAGGCAGGCGGAAUUCCUAGUGUAGCGGUGAAAUGCGUAGAUAUUAGGAGGAACACCAGUGGCGAAGGCGGCCUGCUGGACGAUGACUGACGCUGAGGCUCGAAAGCGUGGGGAGCAAACAGGAUUAGAUACCCCCGUACUC
rnacentral:rRNA from 1 species